GAGGAACUCGAAGUCGAUCUCGUCAUGAGUCGGUCCUUGCGAAGACAACUGCAAUAACAAAUCAGGCCGAGCUUAAGGCAUCAGCUCCGGCAACUAGAGCCAUGAAAGCGAAGGCAUGUCUGGGGGAAGAGCUUACGUAGUAGGCGGUGACAGUGCCGGCAGAGUUCCCGGGCACGAGUUUGAUCUGCAUGUCGAUCUUGCCGAAGAGAUACUCGUUCUUGGACUGGAAGCCGGAGCCGGAGGCCUUGUCGAGGGAGAGGGUAAGGAGGUGACCAUUGUUGAGGAUCUUGGCACGGCCGUCGCCCCAGGUGAUGUCGAAGUCCUGGUAGAAGUUACCAGCGGAGGCAACGGCGACCAAGGAGCAAGCCAGCAAAAAAAACCUCAUUGCCAUGGUAUGCAAUAGCAGAAACGUUAACAAGCUUCGUAGGAGGGGGAAGCAGAUGACGAUGAGACGCGGGGUCGGCGGACGCGGCCAUGGUGCUGCUGUUUCAAGUGGUGGAGCGGCCUCGGACGAAAGCCUCGUGAUCAUGGUCCACUAAAGCGGGCGGCUCCUCCGAUAUUUGAAUGCGACUGGCCAGGUGGCGUCAUCAGGUACGAUGCAAUCCCCACAAAGCUCAUUUUUCUUCUUUUAUAGCGUGCAUGGCAAGCACUACAACAAUGUGAAGUUACGUUUCACCACCGGUUUAUAUGUUGCCCUUGCACUUAGAGCAGUUGGGACCCAUGGUCCCGGCCGUCCGUUCAAUCACAAGGCCAGUAGCGUCGGCGGGUGCAGAGUAGAAGGGUUGGGUGAGAGGAGAGACAUCGGGGUGGCUGGAUUUUCCAGCUGUUGUUAGAGUGUCGUUUUUAGAGACCGACGUUGACCGUGACGCGUUGUGAUCAUGCCGUUGUCGGGCGAUAAGGAAGUGACGAGGGGGUUUCCAACUAAAGGAGUUGCCUCCAUGGAGAGGAAACUUUAGAACGUUGCCGUGCAUUCAUGAGCUUCGUUCUGCGAUCUCAAGCCGCAUCUAGGCAUGGCCGGAUGGUAUGUAUUAAGCUAUGACGCCGAGUGCGUUUAGGCUGUCAUGGGUGAGUUAUAUUUUGCUUGCCUUCCUAAUCAAUGCGGAAAAGAUCCUUCGGCCCGCUCUCCCUUGUAAUUUGGCAGGCUCUAAUUCCUUUUGGUAGUGCGGAUUAGAACAUGCAGAUUUUCAUCUCGAGUCACAUUUUGAUCAUAUUACCUUCUUA